AUUGAACGCUGGCGGAAUGCUUUACACAUGCAAGUCGAACGGCAGCACGGGGCAACCUGGUGGCGAGUGGCGAACGGGUGUGUAAUACAUCGGAACGUGCCCAAUCGUGGGGGAUAACGUAGCGAAAGUUACGCUAAUACCGCAUACGAUCUACGGAUGAAAGCGGGGGAUCGCAAGACCUCGCGCGAAUGGAGCGGCCGAUGUCAGAUUAGGUAGUUGGUGGGGUAAAGGCUCACCAAGCCAACGAUCUGUAGCUGGUCUGAGAGGACGACCAGCCACACUGGGACUGAGACACGGCCCAGACUCCUACGGGAGGCAGCAGUGGGGAAUUUUGGACAAUGGGCGCAAGCCUGAUCCAGCCAUUCCGCGUGCAGGAUGAAGGCCUUCGGGUUGUAAACUGCUCUUGUACGGAACGAAACGGUUCUCUCUAAUACAGGGGGCUAAUGACGGUACCGUAAGAAUAAGCACCGGCUAACUACGUGCCAGCCGCCGCGGUAAUAC
rnacentral:rRNA from 1 species